UACGAAGGGGGCUAGCGUUGCUCGGAAUCACUGGGCGUAAAGCGCACGUAGGCGGAUUGUUAAGUCAGGGGUGAAAUCCUGGAGCUCAACUCCAGAACUGCCCUUGAUACUGACGGUCUCGAGUCCGGGAGAGGUGGGUGGAACUGCGAGUGUAGAGGUGAAAUGCGUAGAUAUCUGGAGGAACACCGGUGGCGAAGGCGGCAUCCUGGACCGACAUUGACGCUGAGGCGCGAAAGCCAGGGGAGCAAACGGG
rnacentral:rRNA from 1 species